CAUCACCAGUGACUGAACAAAAAAGCAACAAUAAAGUCAUCUUUUACUGCUACGUGUUCUCAUAUGAACGCUGUAGGCAUUCAGUGGAGUGGGUCUACGAGGGUAAAGAGAAUAUAUCCUCAGUCAUGGAGAUUUCAUCAUGUUCCUGUAAUUCCAAUCUGACAUUUGCAACAUCUCACUUUAAUCAGAAGUCAAUUUUGUCUGAAUUACUGAUUGUAAGGUGUAAAGUGACAGAUGAAGACACUAAAAGCAUGCAGCUGUUUCCCUUCAGCCCUCCGUCCUUGGGUGAGAAAACUUAAAAACUGUAAUUGACCUCAAACUGUUGCUUAUAAUUAAACUAAAUAUGCGCCCAUGUGUUCCAGGUUUGUCAUGGUGGUACGUUUAUAUGACUGUGGGUUUAGCAGCACUCUUAAUUAUCAUAGUGAUCAUCUCAUGGAAGAAAAUGAAAGGAAAUAAAGAACAAAUGGAAGAAAAUAAAGAACUAAGCUUAAACCCCGAAGAGGCUCAGUCUGGUUCAGGAACCAGUCACAACACUGCUGAACCUGACGACAGUGUUUCUUAUGCCACCAUCAGCUUUGCCAAGCUUUGCCAGAAUAAAGCUGGGGUAAGAUCUGUAAUCGGUUACAGUGAAGAUGUUAGGAUCCAAAUCAUAACUAUCAAAUCGUCUGACACGUAUGAUUAAUUAAGGUAGGAAUUUAUUAUUCACGUUUUCUUUAAGGUACCCUGUAAUGGUGCAGAUGAUACUGUGACAUACAGCACUGUGAAUGCUUCCUUCUCUUCUGCUGGAUAGUCUUCUUCAGGUGACCUCUAUUCCAUCAUCAACAAACCAAAGAAAUAUACGAAUGGAUUAUGAUUUCUUUUCUUGUGCACUCUUAUACAUGAAGCCACUGAGAUAGCAGAGACUCCCUCUAGAGGUGGAGAGGGUGAAAAUAUUCCCAGAUUGAAGCUUCAAUAAAAUGACAUACUUAUGUGAAAUGGAUAUUUCAUUUACCUGGGAGUACAAAAGGCUGAGGAUUCUUCACUUGUGGGGGGACUCGUUGAUUCGAACAGACUGUGUAGGCCGUCCCUCCUGCCUCUGCUUUUGUACCACUGCAUUUUGAGCCUCUCUUUUUGAGUUGCUGCCUUUGAGAUGAUUAGUGUUCUUGUGUUAUUUGAAUAUAUGAGAGUUGUUUUUUUGUUUGUUUAAAUUGCCUCAUUGCCUAAUGAGUCAUUUCACUAACGGUUUUCAGUUCUGGUAAUAAACUUUGUGUUUUUUGACCGUCCUGUCUCUGGGCUCAUUUGUGUUACCUCCCCUUU
rnacentral:lncRNA from 1 species